rnacentral:rRNA from 1 species
AGAGUUUGAUCCUGGCUCAGAUUGAACGCUGGCGGCGUGCCUAACACAUGCAAGUCGAGCGGUAGCGCGGGAGCAAUCCUGGCGACGAGCGGCGGACGGGUGAGUAACGCUUGGGAAUCUGCCUGUUAGUGGGGGACAACCCGGGGAAACUCGGGCUAAUACCGCAUACGCACUACGGUGGAAAGCCGGGGACCGCAAGGCCUGGCGCUAACAGAUGAGCCCAAGUCGGAUUAGCUAGUUGGUGAGGUAAUGGCUCACCAAGGCUUCGAUCCGUAACUGGUCUGAGAGGACGACCAGUCACACCGGAACUGAGACACGGUCCGGACUCCUACGGGAGGCAGCAGUGGGGAAUAUUGGACAAUGGGCGAAAGCCUGAUCCAGCGACGCCGCGUGGGUGAAGAAGGCCUGCGGGUUGUAAAGCCCUUUCAGUGGGGAAGAAAAGCCUCGUUCUAACACAACGGGGUCUUGACGUAACCCAUAGAAGAAGCACCGGCUAACUCUGUGCCAGCAGCCGCGGUAAUACAGAGGGUGCGAGCGUUAAUCGGAAUUACUGGGCGUAAAGCGCGCGUAGGCGGCUUUGCAAGUCGGAUGUGAAAUCCCCAGGCUUAACCUGGGAACUGCAUUCGAGACUGCAUUGCUAGAGUAUGGGAGAGGGAAGUGGAAUUUCCGGUGUAGCGGUGAAAUGCGUAGAUAUCGGAAGGAACAUCAGUGGCGAAAGCGACUUCCUGGACCAAUACUGACGCUCAUGUGCGAAAGCGUGGGGAGCAAACAGGAUUAGAUACCCUGGUAGUCCACGCCAUAAACGAUGAGAACUGGAUGUCGGGAGGGUCUGCCUCUCGGUGUCGUAGCUAACGCGUUAAGUUCUCCGCCUGGGGAGUACGGCCGCAAGGUUGAACUCAAGGAAUGACGGGGACCCGCACAAGCGGUGGAGCAUGUGGUUUAAUUCGAUGCAACGCGAAGAA